rnacentral:rRNA from 1 species
GAUCAUGGCUCAGGAUGAACGCUGGCGGCGUGCUUAACACAUGCAAGUCGAACGAAGCAUAAGAAUUGGAAUCUCGGAAGGAAGAGUCUAUGACUGAGUGGCGGACGGGUGAGUAACGCGUGGGUAACCUACCUCAGUACAGGGGGAUAACAGUUAGAAAUGACUGCUAAUACCGCAUAAGCGCACGAGUGCUGCAUAGUACAGUGUGAAAAACUCCGGUGGUAUGAGAUGGACCCGCGUCUGAUUAGCUAGUUGGUAAGGUAACGGCUUACCAAGGCGACGAUCAGUAGCCGACCUGAGAGGGUGAUCGGCCACAUUGGGACUGAGACACGGCCCAAACUCCUACGGGAGGGCAGCAGUGGGGAAUAUUGCACAAUGGGGGAAACCCUGAUGCCAGCGACGCCGCGUGAAGGAUGAAGUAUUUCGGUAUGUAAACUUCUAUCAGCAGGGAAGAAAAUGACGGUACCUGACUAAGAAGCCCCGGCUAACUACGUGCCAGCCGCUGC